GCCCCCCGGAGGGCGGAUUGGUGAACCAGUCUCCUAAAGCGGGUGUCGCAGGUUCGAAUCCUGCCGGGGGCACCA
rnacentral:tRNA from 1 species